CCAAGGCAGGACUGUCAUAGUUUCAAAAAGGAACAUGGAUUGCACUUAUUGUGACUGAAAGAAUUAUGAAUACUCUCUUUAUGCCCCUUUUGCCCAUAAACAUCUAAGAACUUUGUACUACCAGGCUGCAGAUACAGCUGAUGUCAGGCAGGAGUGGAUGGAGCAGCUGUGGAAAGCCAUGCUGCUCAAUGGCCCAGACAGAUCUGGAUCUCUCACCGAUGGAUUAGGGAGCUGGUGCCAGAUAACAACCCUGAAAUUCGGUCUAGCCGGUGUGAAGAAUCAAAUAAUGAGACCAGCAGCACUUCAGUGAGCAGCAUUGAUCAAGAGUCAUUCGAGUCCUUCGCUGUUGCUGAUGAGACACAAGACAGUUUACACACAGGCAAUGAAAUGGAGCAAAGUACUGAGGAGUUUUUACUGACAGACUGUGACUACGAUGUUUUACCAUCUCGAAAACUUGCCGAAGAAGCCAUCUAUGACACUCCCC
rnacentral:lncRNA from 1 species